rnacentral:rRNA from 1 species
AAGAAAUUUAAUAAUUUUGAAAAUGGAUUUUUUUUGUUUUGGCAAGAGCAUGAGAGCUUUUACUGGGCAAGAAGACAAGAGAUGGAGAGUCCAGCCGGGCCUGCGCUUAAGUGCGCGGUCUUGCUAGGCCUUGUAAGUUUCUUUCUUGCUAUUCCAAACGGUGAGAGAUUUCUGUGCUUUUGUUAUAGGACAAUUAAAACCGUUUCAAUACAACACACUGUGGAGUUUUCAUAUCUUUGCAACUUUUUCUUUGGGCAUUCGAGCAAUCGGGGCCCAGAGGUAACAAACACAAACAAUUUUAUCUAUUCAUUAAAUUUUUGUCAAAAACAAGAAUUUUCGUAACUGGAAAUUUUAAAAUAUUAA